GGGCUUAAUUUUUCCCCUUGGCAUAAUAAGUUUGGAAGGUCCUGAAAUUUUAUUUUCUUUUCCCAAUAUGGUAAUCUGUUUUUUUCCUUCAUGAGAAUAAACACAAACUCAUGCCUUCUCUAGAAUGAAAGACACUAGUCCAAUCAGUUGCAGUGUAUCUUUAGGAAAGUGCCCAGCAAUGAACUCACUGAACACUGAACUGAAAGUUUUAGUAAAGUUACAUGGGGUAGCUGCCUUGAAUAUACUUGCAGCAGGGCUCCAACUACAGUGACAAAGAUGAACCAAGGACCCCAGCUACAGUGCUCUGAAAUCCAUGACGGCAUUUGCAACAAAACCAAGCUUCCUACAGACUGACGGUAACCAGUAACUGAACCCCAGAGGAAUGAGGUGUUUCCCCCAAUAAAAUCUUUACCUGCUUUGGUGUCUACAUCUCAGAAGACCAAGACCCAAGACUAGCACCACUGAUACCAGGAGUAGCCCAAGAAUGCAAGUGGUAAUUUGGGGAUGGCUCACUCCUUUCCCUGACACAGAAGAAGAUGCCAUUCUGUCACAAGGUGAUGACUCAUUGUUACAGCUUUUGACAGUGUGACCUGGAAAAAUGUCCAGGGGUAGGAAAUGCUGCAGCAUGUGCAAAAAUACAGGCACCUAGAAAACAUGGGGAGAAAGGGAAUGCCUAAAAGGACAGCAACAUUGGUUGGUUACUACUAAAUUGUAUUGACACUCUGCAAAGGCAUGGUGAAAUAGUGAGUGAUCUUAACAAGUAUUUAAUAACUACAUGUGGGUUUAGGUGGUAGGUGAGAAAAAAUAUAUUUCAUCCUCUUUUUGGACUUAAUUAUGGUACACUUUCAUCUUGUUGGAAUAUACUCAAUUCAUGUUCAUACAUUUUUUCCUUGUAAUAUCUAUGUUUUCAGUUCUAUUAUUAACCUUUCCACCCCAGUUGUAUAUUAGACUGGUUUUCCUAAACUCCUUGCAGUUGGUUCAUUUGUAGGAGGUGAAGAUAAGUUAGAGUAGUUUUUCCAAUUUCAUGACUCCAUAAAUCUCUCUUCUGUCAAAGCUGCUAUAUUUUCAAAAAUGUGCCACUUGUUUAGGCAAUUCCUUGUCUUUCAGAAACAGAAAGUCUUAUGAAAACUUACUGUUUUUACUCCUAAAUUGUCCAUGCUUUAAAGGCCUUACAUCCCAAAAUGGUGUCAUCUUAAAAAAUUUGUAUAUAUAUUUUGCUAGCCUCUUAAAACUCUGCCUUUUAUAGACAUCUGUCCAUUCCACUCAGUGUAUGAACUCUUUUUUUUUUUUUUUUUUUUUUGAGAUGGAGUUUCGCUCUUGUUGCCCAGGCUGGAGUGCAAUGGCGCAAUCUUGGCUCACUGCAACCUCCACCUCCUGGGUUCAAGCAAGUCUCCUGCCUCAGCCUCCUGUGUAGCUGGGAUUACAGGCAGUGCCACCACACCUGGCUAAUUUUGUAUUUUUAGUAGAGAUGGGGUUUCUUAAUGUUGGUCAGGCUGGUCUCUAAUUCCCGACCUCAGGUGAUCCGCCCGCCUCAGCCUCCCAAAGUGUUCGGAUUACAGGCAUGAGCCACCGUGCCUGGCUGAAUUCUUUUGUUUUAAUCUCAGAGAUUCUCAGUUUUUAUACGUUGCCCAGUUAUACUUGUUUUCUAGCAGGGUUUUUUGUUUUUUGGAUUUUUUUUCCAGGUCAAAAUUCUAAAAGAGACUUUUAAAAUCCCUUCUAAAAGGGACUAUAUGUUGAAUAUUUUUGAGGCUCUAGCAAGCAUAGGUUGUUUCAAAACUGUUUAAAUUUCCUCAUGGGCCGCUAAGUGUUUAAGUGAAGUCUGACAGGACUCAUCAGACACUGGAAGGUAUAAGGGUUUCUCAGAGUUUCCUGGUUUACCACCUAAGUUCUCAUUCAUUAAGAAGCACUGUUUUGGCUGGUAAGAACGCUCAAUAAUUUCCGCACUCCUCUGCCGAUAGGAUUCUCCACACUUCUCUGUACAACUAUUGUUACACAGCCAAUGGUCUUGAUGCCAAUGGAUGCACUGGAUUUUGUUGUUGCUGUUUAUUUUUGUUUGUUUCUGUCUUUUUGUUUUUGUUCUCUAUUGAUCUCUAGUUGAUCUCUAUUAAUUUGAUGGAAGGUUUGUAGAGAUUCAUAAAAAUGUAUAGUGAUUCCAUAUUCUUGACACCAGAAUUUCUUUAACUUAUUUGGAAUUGAAGUGAUUUAAUUCAAAAAUAUGCUGAAAUUUAAUCAGUUAAUAGUGUUGUUUUGGAAUUUGCCUAAUUAGAAAGUGGGUUGCCAUCAGAGAGGAGCAUAAGAGCUCAUGCAUGAUGCACAACAAUCUAAAAUCACAAGCAUUUCUCUUUCUGAAUGUAUUUCUUGUAAAUGACAGAAAAUACAGGUUACUUUAAUAAAAUAACAACAAUUCAAAUGAUAGUUAACAGCAAGAAUAAAGCCAAAAGGGAGUAAAAUUUUAUGUCCAAGGUGUUGAAACCAAAUAACCAUUAAAAAUUACAAAUUCUAUGUAAUCCCAGCACUUUGGGAGGCCGAGACGGGCGGAUCAUGAGGUCAGGAGAUCGAGACCAUCCUGGCUAACACGGUGAAACCCCGUCUCUACUAAAAAUACAAAAAUUAGCCAGGCAUGGUGGCGCGCGCCUGUAGUCCCAGCUACAUGGGAGGCUGAGGCAGGAGAAUGGCGUGAACCCGGGAGGCGGAGCUUGCAGUGAGUCGAGAUUGCGCCACUGCACUCCAGCCUGGGCGACAGAGCGAAACUCCGUCUCAAAAAAAAAAAAAAAAAAAAAAAAUUACAAAUUCUAGGAAAGAAAGUCUUUAAAAAUGAAGGUGAAAAAUAAAAUGAUACAUCAUGAUUUGAUGAACCUACAUAGAAAACUCUAUAUAAGAACAGCAUAAUACCCAUUAUUUUCCAGUAUCCAUAGUACAUUGAUAUGAUAGGUCAUAUCUUAGGUCAUAAAACAAAUUUAAAACAGUUAAAAUCAUAAGAGUAUGUUACCUGACUAUAAUGAAACGAAAACUAGAAAUUAGUAAAAGAAAGAUAGUAAAAUCUCUGAAUAUGUGGAAAUUAAGUAACACACUUCUAAAUAAUUUAUGGGUCAAAAAAAAGGUUCAAAGGAAAUUUUAAAAGACAGAUCUUGUGUAAUUUACUGAAUACCAUGCUGAAGUAAAAAAUGGAAUUGCUGUAUGGAAACUGGAAGUAUGGUUUCUACUCAUGUGUAUAGCUUCUGUACUAUUGCAAAGUUGAGAAAUCAUAAAUUAUAUAUCAUAAGUUGGGGGACAUCUGUACCUGGAUAAACUAAAAGUACAAGAAUGAGAAAACAUAGACUGUGCUAAUACAGUAGCCACUAGCCAAACAUGGCUGUUGAACAUUUGAAAUCCUUGUUAGGACAAAUACAGAUGUCCUAGCAGUGUAAAACACACUGAGGGUAUCUAAGAUUUAGAAAGCAAAAGUUACAUAAAUGUAUUGCUAAAACUAAAAAUCAAUCACAAAAGGAAAUUUAUCAAAUAUUGGAAAAAUUAGACAAUGUAACCAUCAGUCAACUAUAAGUAAAAUAAGAAAUUAUAAGGCAAUUUUAAAAGUAUUUUGAACAUUGGCCUAGAUGCAAAAUUUAUGACUAAGACCUCAAAAGCAAAUGCAACAAAAACAAACAGAAAACCUGGAUUAAUUAAACCAAACAGUUUCUGCACAGCAAAAGAAGUUAUCAACAGAAUAAACAGACAACCUGCAGAAUGGGAGAAAGUAUUUGCAAACUAUGUAUCUGACAAAGGACUCAUAUCCAGAAUCUAUAAGGAACUCAAAUUGGUAAGAAAAACACACAUAACCCCAUUAAAAUUAGGCAAAAAACAUGAACAGACAUUUCUCAAAGGAAGACAUACAAGUGGCCAACAAACAUGAAAAAACAUGCUCAACAUAACUAAUCAUCAGAAAAAUACAAGUCAAAGCCACAAUGAGAUACUAUCUCAUGCCAGUCAGAACAGCUAUUAUUAAAAAGGCAAAUAAUAAGAGGUUGGUGAAGAUGCUGACAUGCUUAUACACUGUUGGUGAGAAUGUAAAUUAGUUCAAUCUUUGUGGAAAGCAGUUUGGAGCAUUCUCAGAGAACUAAAAACAGAACUACCAUUCCACCUAGAAAUUCCACUGCUGUAUAUCUACCCAAAGGAAAAGAAAUCAUUAUAUCAAAAGGAUACCUGUGCUCGUAUGUUUAUUGUAUAACAUAGCACUAUUCACAAGAGCAAAGUCAUGGAAUCAACUUAAGUGUCCACCAACAAUUGCUGGGAUAAAGAAAAUGUUCUAUGUACACACCAUGGAAUACUACUUAGUCAUAAAAAAAUAAUGAACUUACGUCCUUGGCAGCAACGUGGCUGGGGCUAGAGGCCAUCAUCCUAAGUGAAAUAACUAAGAAAUAGAAAUUAAAAUAUUGGGCUGGGCAUGGUAGUUCACACCUGUAAUCUCAGCACUUUGGGAGGGCGAGGUGAGUGAAUCACCUUAUGUCAGGAGGUCAAGACCAGCCUGGCGAACAUGGUUGUAUUAGUACAUUUUCACACUGCUGAUAAAGAUAUAUCUGAGACUGGGCAAUUUACAAAAGAAAGAGGUUUAUUGGACUUACAGUUCUGCAUGUCUGGGGAGGCCUCGCAAUCAUGGUGAAGGUUAAAGGCAAGGAUGAGCAAGUCAUGUCUUACAUGGAAGGUGUCAGGCAAAAAGAGCUUAUGUAGAAAAACUCACAUUUUAAAACCAUCAGAUCUCGUGAGACUCAUUCACUAUCAUGAGAACAGUGCAGGAAAGACCUACCCUCAUGAUUCAAUCACCUCCCACCAGGUUCCUCCCAUGGCAUGUGGGAAUUGUGAGAGUUCACAGUUCAAGAUGAGAUUUGUGUGGGCACACAGCCAAACCACACCAAUGGGGAACCCCCCUGCCCCAACUGAAAAUACAAAAAAUUAGCUGGGCAUGGUGGCACAUGCCUGUAAUGCCAGCUACUCAGGAGGCUGAGGCACUAGAAUUGCUUUAACCAGGUUGCAGUGAGCAGAGAUUGUGCGACUGCAUUCCAGCCUGGGUGACAGAGCGAGGCUCUGUCUUGAAAAAAAAAAAAAAAUGCGUUCCACUUAUAAGUGAGGGCUAAACAAUUGGUAUACACAGACAUAGAAAUUAUAAACCCUGGAGACUCCAUAAGAGGAGAGAGUGGGUGGGAGAUGAGUGUUCAAAAAUUACCUACUGAGUAUAAUGUUCACUAUUUGGGUGAUGACUUCACUGGAAGCCCAAACCUCACAAGUAUGCAAUAGAUCCAUGUAACAAACCUGCCCAUGCACCCCCAAAUCUAAAAUAAAAUUUAAAAACAAAUAAUAAAAGUAUCUUGAACUGAAUAAAAGACAAAGUAUAUUAAAAAUAUUUAUAUGUUUUAGUUUCCUGGUACUGUUGUAACAAAGUAACAUACACUGGGUGGCUUAAAACAACAGAAAUUUAUUGUCUGGCAAGUCUGGAGACUAGGAUCUUUCAAUGAUGCCCUUGUGAAAACUAAGAGGCAGCCUACAGAAUAGGAGAAAAUAUUUGCAAAAUCUAUGUCUGAACAACUUGUGUGCAGAAUAUACAAUAAACACUUAAAAUUCACUUUUAUAAAUACAACACUUUUUAUAAAUGGAUAAAAUAUUUAAAUAUACAUCACAUGUAAGAAGAUAUACAAGUUUCAAACAAGCACAUAAAAAGAUGCUCAGUGGCAUUCAUUCAUCAUUUGAAAAAAGAAAGCUUUUUCACAAUGUUAUAUGAUUGAAUACAUGCCAGAAUGGCUAAAAGUAAAAUUAUUGGAAAUACUUAGUGUUAAUGAGGCUAUAGAGCAACUGGAGAUUUUACACAUUUCUGAAAAGAAUUAAAAUUGUUAAAAACAAUUGGAAGGUACCAUUUAAAGUUAAACAUACACUUGCCAUAUGAUUCGUCAUUCCCACUCUUAAGUAUUUAUACAUAUGUUCAAAGAUUUGUGUUUAAAUGUUCAAUGCAAUUUUAUUUAGCCAAAAAUAGGACUAACGCAAAUGUUUGUUAUGGCUUAAAUUGCUUUCUCUCAAAAUAGACAUGUAGAAACCCUAACCUUCAGUACCUCAAGAAUAACAUCUUAUUUGGAAAUACAGUCUUUGCACAUGUAGUCAAAUUAAGAUGUGGACAUUAGAGUGGGCUUUAAUUCCAUAUGACUGAUGUGCUUAUAAAAAUGGAAAAUUUGGAGACAGAUAUGCACACUGAGAGAAUGCUAUGGGAACAUAAAAACAGAGAUUGGAAUGAUAUAUCUGCAAGCCAAGGAAAGCUGAAGAUUACCAGAAAACCACUGGAAGCAAGGAUAAAGGCCUGAAACAUUAUCCCUCACAGAAUUCAGAAGGAAUGAACCCUGCCAACACCUGGAUCUCAUAAUUCUAGCUUCCAGAACUGUAAAACAAUAAAUUUCUGUUGCUUAAGCUACCCAGUUUGUGACGCUUUGGUAAAGCAGCCAUAGGAAACUAAUAAAUUCAUCAGUUUUGAAAGAAUUUAAAAUUUGUGGUAUGUCCAUUCAAUGGAAAAUUACUCAUUAAUAAAAACAAAAUUCUGACACACAAAAAAUGGCUGAAUCACAAAAACUGCUAAAUAAAAAACAAUACAAAAAUUAAAGACUAUAUACAGUAUGAUUCAAUUUAUAUAAAAUUAUAGAAGAUGUAAAACUAUAGUGCCAGAAAGCAGAUCAGUAGUUGCUAACACCUGGGAUGGGAGAGAGGAUUGACAGACGACAAAGGCUAUGAGGG
rnacentral:lncRNA from 10 species